CCUACGGGAGGCAGCAGUGGGGAAUAUUGGACAAUGGGCGAAAGCCUGAUCCAGCCAUGCCGCGUGUGUGAAGAAGGCCUUUUGGUUGUAAAGCACUUUAAGCGAGGAGGAGGCUACUGAGAUUAAUACUCUUGGAUAGUGGACGUUACUCGCAGAAUAAGCACCGGCUAACUCUGUGCCAGCAGCCGCGGUAAUACAGAGGGUGCGAGCGUUAAUCGGAUUUACUGGGCGUAAAGCGUGCGUAGGCGGCUUUUUAAGUCGGAUGUGAAAUCCCUGAGCUUAACUUAGGAAUUGCAUUCGAUACUGGGAAGCUAGAGUAUGGGAGAGGAUGGUAGAAUUCCAGGUGUAGCGGUGAAAUGCGUAGAGAUCUGGAGGAAUACCGAUGGCGAAGGCAGCCAUCUGGCCUAAUACUGACGCUGAGGUACGAAAGCAUGGGGAGCAAACAGGAUUAGAUACCCUGGUAGUCCAUGCCGUAAACGAUGUCUACUAGCCGUUGGGGCCUUUGAGGCUUUAGUGGCGCAGCUAACGCGAUAAGUAGACCGCCUGGGGAGUACGGUCGCAAGACUAAAACUCAAAUGAAUUGACGGGGGCCCGCACAAGCGGUGGAGCAUGUGGUUUAAUUCGAUGCAACGCGAAGAACCUUAC
rnacentral:rRNA from 1 species